AAUCAACGCUGGCGGCGUGCCUAACACAUGCAAGUCGAACGAGAAAGUGGAGCAAUCCAUGAGUAAAGUGGCGACCGGGUGAGUAACACGUGACUAACCUACCUUCGAGUGGGGGAUAACCUAGGGAAACCUGGGCUAAUACCGCAUAACAUCUUUGGAGUGGAAAUUCUGGAGAUCAAAAGAGCAAUUUGCUUGAAGAGGGGGUCGCGGCUGAUUAGCUAGUUGGCGGGGUAACGGCCCACCAAGGCUUUGAUCGGUAGCCGGCCUGAG
rnacentral:rRNA from 1 species